rnacentral:rRNA from 1 species
UACGAAGGGGGGCUAGCGUUGCUCGGAAUUACUGGGCGUAAAGGGCGCGUAGGCGGGUCGUCAAGUUGGGGGUGAAAGCCCGGGGCUCAACCUCGGAAUUGCCUUCAAAACUGGCGACCUAGAGUACGGGAGAGGUGUGUGGAACUCCGAGUGUAGAGGUGAAAUUCGUAGAUAUUCGGAAGAACACCAGUGGCGAAGGCGACACACUGGCCCGUUACUGACGCUGAGGCGCGAAAGCGUGGGGAGCAAACAGG